UACGGGGGGGGCAAGCGUUGUUCGGAAUUACUGGGCGUAAAGGGCUCGUAGGUGGCCAACUAAGUCAGACGUGAAAUCCCUCGGCUUAACCGGGGAACUGCGUCUGAUACUGGAUGGCUUGAGUUUGGGAGAGGGACGCGGAAUUCCAGGUGUAGCGGUGAAAUGCGCAGAUAUCGGGAGGAACACCAAUGGCGAAAGCAGGUAACUGGACUAUUACUGACACUCAACUGCGAAAGCUAGGGGAGCAAACAGG
rnacentral:rRNA from 1 species